GGUUAAGCGACUAAGCGUACACGGUGGAUGCCCUGGCAGUCAGAGGCGAUGAAGGACGUGCUAAUCUGCGAUAAGCGUCGGUAAGGUGAUAUGAACCGUUAUAACCGGCGAUUUCCGAAUGGGGAAACCCAGUGUGUUUCGACACACUAUCAUUAACUGAAUCCAUAGGUUAAUGAGGCGAACCGGGGGAACUGAAACAUCUAAGUACCCCGAGGAAAAGAAAUCAACCGAGAUUCCCCCAGUAGCGGCGAGCGAACGGGGAGCAGCCCAGAGCCUGAAUCAGUGUGUGUGUUAGUGGAAGCGUCUGGAAAGGCGCGCGAUACAGGGUGACAGCCCCGUACACAAAAAUGCACAUGCUGUGAGCUCGAUGAGUAGGGCGGGACACGUGGUAUCCUGUCUGAAUAUGGGGGGACCAUCCUCCAAGGCUAAAUACUCCUGACUGACCGAUAGUGAACCAGUACCGUGAGGGAAAGGCGAAAAGAACCCCGGCGAGGGGAGUGAAAAAGAACCUGAAACCGUGUACGUACAAGCAGUGGGAGCACGCUUAGGCGUGUGACUGCGUACCUUUUGUAUAAUGGGUCAGCGACUUAUAUUCUGUAGCAAGGUUAACCGAAUAGGGGAGCCGAAGGGAAACCGAGUCUUAACUGGGCGUUAAGUUGCAGGGUAUAGACCCGAAACCCGGUGAUCUAGCCAUGGGCAGGUUGAAGGUUGGGUAACACUAACUGGAGGACCGAACCGACUAAUGUUGAAAAAUUAGCGGAUGACUUGUGGCUGGGGGUGAAAGGCCAAUCAAACCGGGAGAUAGCUGGUUCUCCCCGAAAGCUAUUUAGGUAGCGCCUCGUGAAUUCAUCUCCGGGGGUAGAGCACUGUUUCGGCAAGGGGGUCAUCCCGACUUACCAACCCGAUGCAAACUGCGAAUACCGGAGAAUGUUAUCACGGGAGACACACGGCGGGUGCUAACGUCCGUCGUGAAGAGGGAAACAACCCAGACCGCCAGCUAAGGUCCCAAAGUCAUGGUUAAGUGGGAAACGAUGUGGGAAGGCCCAGACAGCCAGGAUGUUGGCUUAGAAGCAGCCAUCAUUUAAAGAAAGCGUAAUAGCUCACUGGUCGAGUCGGCCUGCGCGGAAGAUGUAACGGGGCUAAACCAUGCACCGAAGCUGCGGCAGCGACGCUUAUGCGUUGUUGGGUAGGGGAGCGUUCUGUAAGCCUG
rnacentral:rRNA from 1 species